UUAUCUCAUAACCAUCCGGUGGGGACACACACAACCAGUUCACCACAACAUGGCAGGUAUAUAGCUAGCUGCAUGGAGUUAUGAAAGGACAAUGUGUCUGAUUCAGGGAUGUAACAUUCAACUCACUACAUUUAACAAACUUAGUCAGGAGGCUAAAUCUAAGCAGACUAACCAAACAACCAAAAGUGUGGAUGCAUAUGUGGAAGAGGAUCUUGUCCACAGAGCCUGUGAUACUGGGGACUUAUAAAGUAUACUGACAAGGUGGUCUUUGAUCAAAGGUAGGCACAUACAAUGACUGAAUUUUAAAACUGUAAAUUAUUCUCCAAAGACUGUAAUAAUAGUAAAGAAACUUUCAGCUAAAGUGAUCAUUGUGUAAGAAUAUUCCUAGGCUGUCAGAAUUUUUUCUGUCAGGCAGGACUAGGGUCAGGACUUAAAGGCUGUGUUUGAAUUAUAUCUGUUCCCAUCAUAAUAAGAAACCAAAUAUAACUUUCAUAGUUAUGAUUUGGGACAUAUAAAAGAUACUCACUUAGACAUCAAAGUUAAUGUGCCUAGUAGUUAUAUUCCCAAAAGGACAGAGUUGACAAAAUACUUUAUCCAAAAGAAAUGGAGUUUUGGAAAUAGACUUGUGUAUCCAGAUCAGAGAGAGUAAUGGUUUCUCUGGAGCUUGAAUUAGCAGGAUGCAAUUUGGAGUCCAGUUUGUGAUACAACACUUUAAUGUGUCAAGAAUAUACUAGCAUAGUUUCUCAAGUGUGCGUCCUACGCUAUCUGCAUCAUCAAGGGAGACUUAAACAUUCUGAUUCAGGGGUGUGGGUGGGGCUGGCAGGCUUUAUCUCAUCUUUAAUAAGCAUUCCAAAUGAUU
rnacentral:lncRNA from 1 species